rnacentral:rRNA from 1 species
UACAGAGGGUGCAAGCGUUGUUCGGAAUUAUUGGGCGUAAAGCGCACGUAGGCGGCUUUGCAAGUCGGAUGUGAAAUCCCUCGGCUUAACCAAGGAAGUGCAUCCGAAACUGCAGAGCUUGAGUACUUAAGAGGAUCGCGGAAUUCCCGGUGUAGAGGUGAAAUUCGUAGAUAUCGGGAGGAACACCAGUGGCGAAGGCGGCGAUCUGGGAAGAUACUGACGCUGAGGUGCGAAAGCGUGGGGAGCAAACAGG